rnacentral:lncRNA from 1 species
UGGAGCAUCAGAGACGCUUGGGUCCCAAUCUCCUCUGCCACAAUCUAGCUCUGUGCCCUAUUCUUUUUUUUUUUUUUUUUUUUUUUUUGAGACAGAAUCUCGCUCUGUUGCCCAGGCUGGAGUGUAGUGGUGCAAUCUUGGCUCACUGCAAGCUCUGCCUCCCGGGUUCACGCCAUUCUCCUGCCUCAGCCUCCCGAGUAGCUGGGACUACAGGCGCCCACGACCACGCCCGGCUAAUGUUUUUGUAUUUUUAGUAGAGACAGGGUUUCACCAUGUUAGCCAGGAUGGUCUUGAUCUCGUGACCUCGUGACCCGCCCAUCUCGGCCUCCCAAAGUGCUGGGAUUACAGGCUUGAGCCACCGCGUC